rnacentral:lncRNA from 1 species
GAGGGAGGAGGGAGGAAGCCCCUGGGAGGGAGCCAGGGUUCAGGGUUUCCAGGCACAGGCUGAACUCUGGUUCUGAGAGGAAAGGCACUCCAGGGUUUUGGAGUGGGCCACCUGAACUUGACCCUCAGGGCAGAUAUCCUAGAGUUCCAAGGAAGGCCCAGGCUGGGCCAAGAAGCCACCUCCAGAAUGCUGUUGUGGUGACACAGAGCACGCAGGGUCCUUCCCCAGCUCUGCUCUUGUCUUUCUCUGGGGGUGGGGUGGGGGGACGACAAUUGGAACCUGGACUGCCCAGGAGGCUGGUAGUGGGUUGGGCAGAAGGAAUGCAGCCCUGGCUCUCAGCCCAGAGGCUUUGGGUCCGCCUGAGGCUGCCUUGGGGGUGGUGGUGGUAUACCUGGCUGGGCAGGGAGCUGCGACCAAGGGCUCUGUGUCUGAAUUAGCUUAGGGUGUUUGUGGGGAGUGGGGAGUGGAGGUGUGGGUGGGACUGAGGGUGGGUGGGUAGCCCACAGCUUGGUUUUCUCCUCUGCUGCCUUGGGCCAGGCGUGUUCCUUCUUGUGUCUAGGCUGCUCCUGGAGUUGGGAGAAAGAAGGCUAAGUUAGUGCUGGAUGACAAUGACCCACCAAAGACUGCUGCUGAAGGGUCCUUGCCUCCUAAGGAGACUGCCACCAUGCAGCCUCUGAAGUGGGAGAAGCUGAGAAGGUGAAGCCGCUAAUGAUGUAACUUGCAGAUCCCUGCUGGAUCAACUCAUUUCUCUGUGCAGAAGAUCAGCCACUGUUCAAGGAAUAUAGAGCCCCACUCAGGGCCAAGGAGAGGCUCCAGAAAAAUCACAAACACAAGAAUGUGUGUGAGGUACUGGAUAAAGCUGAGCAUGCUGUCCCAGGCAUGGGGCCUUCUCACCGGUUCUCUGAAGCCACCCCCUCCUUUAUGCCUUGAGGCUGCUUGCUGAUGCCAGGAGUAAAAGAAAUGACUCCUGCCCCUCUGUCUGUGUCUCUCUGUCUCUCUGUCUGUGUCCACCCUCCCCCCCCACCCCCCAAAUCUGUCUUCUCCUGGCAGCUGCAGAGAUUUAUAAUUUACCUGCCUUGUUGUUUCUCUCUUACACUCUAAUAAAACUCAAGCUUCCGUUUGA